rnacentral:lncRNA from 1 species
AUGCCUGCCCCCUUCCACCCUCUUCUACCCCCUCCCCCCGAAUGGUACAGGGGAAUGGGGAAUGGAGGCUGCAGUCAGCGGUCAGCCCCUGUCAUGUCAUUUCCACCACUCCCUCAAGGUCACUCUCUGCCCCUGCUUCACGUGGGGUCCCUCCCACGGGAUGCCGUCCUUCCCCAACUGAGCCUGCGGGGGCUGCCCACAGGCAACAGCUCUUCAAGACCUGCUCCCACACGGCUCCGUACCACGGGGUCCAUCCAUCCAUCCCCCAGGAGCAAACUGCUCCAGCACGGGUCCCCCACGGGUGGGCGGCAGCUCCCCCCAGACCCCUGCUCCUGCGUGGGCUCCUCUCCACGGGCUGUAGCUCCGGCCCGGGGCCUGCUCCUGCGGGGGCUCUCCAUGGGCCGCAGCCUCCUCCAGGCCACAUCCACCUGCUCCAGUGGGGGCUCCUCCACCCAUGGGGGGGCUGCAGUGUGGAGAUCUGCUCCAUGUGGGACCCAUGGGCUGCAGGGGGACAGCCUGCUCCACCAGGGGCUUCUCCACAGCUCGCAGGAGAACUGCUGCUGGAACUGUGGCUGGAGCACCUCCUGCCCUCCUGCUGCACUGACCUGGGGGUCUGCCAGUCUGUUUCUUACUCUCUCCCAGCUGCUGUUGCACAGUAGCUUCCCUCCCUCCCUCCCUCCCUCCCUUCCUUCCUCCCUGCCUUCCUUCCUUCGAGGCCCCACCAGCAUCACUCCAUGGCCUGGCUCUGACCGGCACCAGGUCUCGUUGGAGUCAUCUGGAGCUGGCUCUGGUCUGAUAUGGGGCAGCUGCUGGUCUCUGCUCACAGUGGCCACCCCUGCAGCCUCCCUGCUACCAAAAUCUUGCCACAUAAACCCAGUACAGCAACUAAGAUUAACAGUAAAGAUUAGCUUAUGUGAGUGCUGCAGACUUUGUGAAGAGUAUUCAUCCAUUUAUGGCAGGAGCUGGGACUGCACAGCCAGCAUGGGUGUUGCCCUCGGCUGA